UGAGCCAAUAACAAGAGUGUGAUAGGAACCAAGGGUUAUGAUUAAUCUAAUCCCUUAUGACUCAAGUCCAUU
ensembl:snoRNA